rnacentral:rRNA from 1 species
AGUGAACGCUGGCGGUAGGCCUAACACAUGCAAGUCGAACGGCAGCACAGUAAGAGCUUGCUCUUACGGGUGGCGAGUGGCGGACGGGUGAGGAAUACAUCGGAAUCUACUUUUUCGUGGGGGAUAACGUAGGGAAACUUACGCUAAUACCGCAUACGACCUACGGGUGAAAGCAGGGGAUCUUCGGACCUUGCGCGAUUGAAUGAGCCGAUGUCGGAUUAGCUAGUUGGCGGGGUAAAGGCCCACCAAGGCGACGAUCCGUAGCUGGUCUGAGAGGAUGAUCGGCGACACUGGAGGUGAGACACGGUCCAGACUCCUACGGGAGGCAGCAGUGGGGAAUAUUGGACAAUGGUCGCAAGCCUGAUCCAGCCAUACCGCGUGGGUGAAGAAGGCGUUCGGGUUGUAAAGCCCUUUUGUUGGGAAAGAAAAGCAGCAGGUUAAUACCCCGCUGUUCUGACGGUACCCAAAGAAUAAGCACCGGCUAACUUCGUG